rnacentral:rRNA from 1 species
AUACGUAGGGGGCGAGCGUUGUCCGGAAUGAUUGGGCGUAAAGGGCGCGUAGGCGGCCUGUUAAGUCUGGAGUGAAAGUCCUGUUUUCAAGAUGGGAAUUGCUUUAGAUACUGAUGGGCUUGAGUGCAGGAGAGGUUAUCGGAAUUCCCGGUGUAGCGGUGAAAUGCGUAGAGAUCGGGAGGAACACCAGUGGCGAAGGCGGGUAACUGGACUGCAACUGACGCUGAGGCGCGAAAGUGUGGGGAGCAAACAGGAUUAGAUACCCUGGUAGUCCACACUGUAAGCGAUGAAUGCUAGGUGUAAGAGGUAUCGACCCCUUUUGUGCCGGAGUUAACACAAUAAGCAUUCCGCCUGGGGAGUACGGCCGCAAGGUUGAAACUCAAAGGAAUUGACGGGG